ensembl:lncRNA
CUAGUAGCAGUUGAAAAAGUAGUAGACCCUAGGUAGAUAAUCUGGGUCCAAGUCUUGGCUUCCACAUUUCCUAGAUGUUGGAUGUCACUCCUGGAAAAAAAAAAAUCUAUCUGUUAAAUGGGGAUGCUAUCUUUUGUACCUCCCUGAUUUGUUGUGAGGGGAGCACCUCUGCAAACUUUUAUUAAUUCUAGGUGUAUUUAUUAUUAUGUUGCAGAUAUGCUUUCUAAAAUCCAUUUCAUGUAAAACUUGUGCAGGGGUGUUGUUCUAGGUCACAGAACAGGGUGGCUGAAGUUCUACUAAAUCAAAGUUAAUACUCUACAAAGUCUCUCCCUAGAAAGAGAAACUAGCAGACACCCAAACAGGCAGCUCUGAAUUACUGCCCGAAUGGUAAGGGCUUCAUAUUUCAAUGAUCAGGGGUAUGGUCCAAUCAGCAAACAAACCCUAUGUACUGCUAGGGAUCAGCAAAUAGGCUGUGUCCCAGCCAUGCACAUGACUCAAUUUGCUUCUGUCCAUCAUCUAGGUCAUAUGUAGUUCAAUUGAAGUAGAGCAGACAGACAGGGCUGCAAAGCUCUCUGGGGCAGUUCAAUACCCUUGUCUAGCCUAUAUCUGACUACCUAUUUUUCCCCCUUUCUUCUUUCUGGACAAACUCACAGCUCCAUCUUUCUCUUCACUGAAUCCCAGACUGGCCAGGAGUUCCCAGUCACUCACAAGAGAUUCAGAGAAGUUGUUCUCAAUCUGUGCCAGCUUGAAGUUUGUUUCCUUUUUUGUGUAUGUGUUGUAUUGGCUGCUUUUUUUUCCUCCCCAUUUUGACAGAGAUCCAACUGUUCUUUAAAAAAAAAAAAAAAAAAAAUCUUGCAUAACAGUUCGGGACUACUUCGAUUCUUUGCCUAGAAUUCAGGUCAUUUGCUGGCUGCCCACCACUCCCAUAGUUGAAGUAGAAGAGGCAUUCCUCUAAGGAAAAAAUUGUUACACCCAGCAACAUGUGAUGUCCUGGAG